CCUUGAGGACGUGAGGCAGCUUCUCCCACUUUCCUCGUCUGCCCAGCUGAGGGCAGGGGGCCUGGGUAGGGCAGUUGGAGACAGGGCUCUGUCCUCUGGGCUCCUCUCCUCGAAACACUCCACAUCAAGGCCUGUGCUCUAGGAGGAAGUUCACAACAACACGGGUUGUCAGGCAGAGAGCUGUCUGCAGGGCCCCCUCUCAAUGGCCUGAGGAGAGGACCCUUCUCUGCAGAGUAUAUAUGCCACUGUGGCAGUGUAUUAAUUAUCUACAGCUGCGUAACACAUUCCAACACACAUUCCAAAAUUAGCAGCUAGAAACAAUACCUACUUAUUCU
rnacentral:lncRNA from 10 species